GGCAACUUGGCCGAGUGGUCUAAGGCGCUGGAAUUAGGAUGUUCCCAGCGAACUGAAUGUAUCCAGUCCGAAAGGGCACGAGUUCGAACCUCGUAGUUGUCA